UACGUAGGGUGCAAGCGUUGUCCGGAAUUAUUGGGCGUAAAGAGCUCGUAGGCGGUUUGUCGCGUCGGCUGUGAAAACUCGGGGCUCAACCCCGAGCCUGCAGUCGAUACGGGCAAACUAGAGUGUGGUAGGGGAGACUGGAAUUCCUGGUGUAGCGGUGAAAUGCGCAGAUAUCAGGAGGGACACCGGCGGCGAAGGCGGGUCUCUGGGCCAUAACUGACGCUGAGGAGCGAAAGCGUGGGGGAGCGAACAGG
rnacentral:rRNA from 1 species